rnacentral:rRNA from 1 species
CGACCGGCGCACGGGUGAGUAACACGUAUCCAACCUGCCGAUGACUCGGGGAUAGCCUUUCGAAAGAAAGAUUAAUACCCGAUGGCAUAGUUCUUCCGCAUGGUAGAACUAUUAAAGAAUUUCGGUCAUCGAUGGAGAUGCGUUCCAUUAGCUUGUUGGCGGGGUAACGGCCCACCAAGGCAUCGAUGGAUAGGGGUUCUGAGAGGAAGGUCCCCCACAUUGGAACUGAGACACGGUCCAAACUCCUACGGGAGGCAGCAG